rnacentral:rRNA from 1 species
CCCUUAGAUGUUCUGGGCCGCACGCGCGCUACACUGAUGCAUUCAACGAGUUUCUUCCUGGUCCGAGAGGAAUGGGUAACCUUUUGAAAGUGCAUCGUGAUAGGGAUAGACUAUUGCAAUUAUUGGUCUUCAACGAGGAAUUCCUAGUAGACGUAGUUCAUCAGACUGCAUCGAUUACGCCCCUGCCCUUUGUACACACCGCCCGUCGCUCCUACCGAUUGAAUGCUCAGGUGAGCCAUUCGGACUUUCAUCAUGCUGGUUUCCAGUUUUGAUGAAGGAAAGUCUUGCGAACCUUAUCACUUAGAGGAAGGAGAAGUCGUAACA